rnacentral:rRNA from 1 species
UAGGGAAUCUUCGGCAAUGGACGAAAGUCUGACCGAGCAACGCCGCGUGAGUGAAGAAGGUUUUCGGAUCGUAAAACUCUGUUGUUAGAGAAGAACAAGGACGUUAGUAACUGAACGUCCCCUGACGGUAUCUAACCAGAAAGCCACGGCUAACUACGUGCCAGCAGCCGCGGUAAUACGUAGGUGGCAAGCGUUGUCCGGAUUUAUUGGGCGUAAAGCGAGCGCAGGCGGUUACUUAAGUCUGAUGUGAAAGCCCCCGGCUCAACCGGGGAGGGUCAUUGGAAACUGGGGGACUUGAGUGCGGAAGAGGAGAGUGGAAUUCCAUGUGUGGCGGUGAAAUGCGUAGAUAUAUGGAGGAACACCGGUGGCGAAGGCGGCUCUCUGGUCUGUAACUGGCGCUGAGGCUCGAAAGCGGAGGGAGCAAACAGG